rnacentral:rRNA from 1 species
UACGAAGGGGGCUAGCGUUGUUCGGAUUUACUGGGCGUAAAGCGCACGUAGGCGGAUCGUUAAGUCAGGGGUGAAAUCCUGGAGCUCAACUCCAGAACUGCCUUUGAUACUGGCGAUCUUGAGUCCGGAAGAGGUGAGUGGAAUUCCCAGUGUAGAGGUGAAAUUCGUAGAUAUUGGGAAGAACACCAGUGGCGAAGGCGGCUCACUGGUCCGAUACUGACGCUGAGGUGCGAAAGCGUGGGGAGCAAACAGG